rnacentral:pre_miRNA from 1 species
UGCCUGUGGGUAAUGCCUGUUCGGUUAGUGUAUAUGUAUAAAUCUGAUCUGACCGACUAUCCGCAUCCCGAUCUGAUCUGAGACCUCGAAUGCGAUCGAGUCGAAGAUCCGGAUCAGGGGUUUGCCGUUGAUUCGGAGAUCAAUACACCACCGGGUAGACAUUCAUCCGCUGA